GUUGGUGCUAAAAAUACUUGAUCCGACAAAGAUUCAAACAAAUCUGAUGACGAAUCAAGGCAAACCUUGAUGUCAUUGCUGGUUUCAUUGUUCAAAAAAAUGUGAACAGGCUGAUUUUGGGGAAAAAAUGUUCAAAGUCAAAUUUUAAUUCAUACUGAGAAAACUUUGGGUGGGUUCAACUUUUCUAUGGAGAAAACAAGACAGAGAAAAAUACAGUGUAGGCUGUGAACUUGUACUUUUAAUUCUUCGAGUUUGCAUAUCUGGGGGCUUGAUUUUCCAUGCAGGUCUCGUCAUUUCCAACAAUAAUUGACCUCUGAUUGAAAACCAAAAAUCACUUAAAAGGACGAACAGUUGUGUCUCUUCAUCUCAUAAUGACAGGAUUGUUUGAUUGCAGAACAGCCAUAAAAAAUAACUGACAAUAAAUUACCACUUAAGUGUAACUGUUGUCCUUUUCCUAUUAAAGCUCCUGGGAGGAAUUUUGAUUUGCCUUGUUUAUGGCGCCUCCUGUGGACAGAUAAGUCCUUGCUUAUUUUGUCAUGUCUUUUUUAAUUUGUCUUUUUUAAAAUCUAUCCAUCCUUUGCCAUGAAAAAAGCAGAAAGCAUCAGCAGAGUGUAGGCCACCAUUUCCUGUUGAGCUCCACCAACAGGGGGCGUGAGUAAGGGAGUUUAGGAGGAGUCUAGGUAUUACCUUGAUUAAAAUACUAUCUUGAUUAAAACCUUGAAACUCAAGUUACCCCUGGCUGUGUUACCAAGAGUUGAAUCUGCAGAAUUCUGAUGUGCGUAAAGCUCAGGUUCCAUAAAGAGUUCAUGUCACUGGAUGCAAACAAUGCAAAGACGUGUUCAAACUGGCUAAAAAUGUUUGAUAUAUAUCCAAUUCAGCUGAAAUCCGUCCCUGAAUACUGAUGUGUUGGAUCUGCCAGUUAGGCUAAACUAACACCCAAGCAGGUUGACAAAAUACGAAUGUAUCUGAUUGUUUUAGAUGCAACCAGGAUUGACUCCAUAGAAAGAGGAGGAAGAGUCUGUUGAGCUGCUCAAGUGCUUUUUGCAUACCUGAAUGCGAGUGGCCUAAUUGGAUGAUAUGCAGCCAAUGGAUUCAUUUUCUUCUCUGCACAAUCCCACACUCCAGAGGUCAAGAAUGAUCAAAUUAUCCCUGUGCGCUGUUGUGUUUGACUGCUUUACAUGAGUCACCACAGCAACGGCUAAAUGAAAUCACAGAAGGAUGGUUACUCUAAUUCACAGGCAAUUUUUGGUAUCUGGUAACUCUCUCUAAAAAUGUGUUCUUGCACUGUGGGCAUCCUGAUAAAAUUUCUAUUUAAAAAGUCCACCACAAUCUGACAGGAAACCACAUGAUCGUCCCUGCACUUCCAGACCAAACAGACGAAACAGGUUCACUGGAGACAGUUUUGGUUUAGACUACGGUGUGGGGGAAUAGAGAGGGUCAUGUUUACCAGCUUCUUGUGAACUCAGCAGACAUGUAAAGAUGCACAUUAACUGUGUUUAUGUGCCACCAGUACAACAGUAAAUCCCACUGCCAGUCACACUGAUGGUUCUUUGACCCGUCAGCACUUUGGAGCCUGCGUAUGUCUGGCACCUGAGCUGGGAGAUUAGCCAAGUGGAUCAUGUUGAGCUUUUUUCAAGGUGGAGGUAUUACAACAAGACAGGGGAGGGACACUGCAGGGGAGAAAAGAAGAUAAGAACGCGGUCAUAAAAAAGAAAGGUGCCAGUAAAGAUUGAGAAAUCUGGACUGCGUAUUUGCGAUAAUGCUAGAGUUUUAUUUACAGGAGAUCCAUCAGUCCAUCAGGAUCACCUAAAGAAAGGGGCAUGUGAUGCAAAGCUCAAAUCCUGUAGUUAUGUGAGCAUCUGUCCUGCUAAAAAUGGAGCAGAAAGUACUUGGUAACUUAUACGAGUAACUGAUAUAAAUGCCCAAAUCAGCAGGUUUACAUUUUGUUUAUUUUCCUGAUAAUGCUCUUGAAGCAUGCUCCUUUUAAUGCAAGGAAGACUUACAGCAACAAAUGUUUUCUGAUAAGUUACAACUAUAUAACAAAAAUUGUAUGUAACUGAAGGUGGAAUUGUUACCAGAAGUAUUUUGACUCAAAAAUGAUGUGGGAAGAAAAUCAUUCAUCUAUCUUUGAAAAUCUUUGAAAAAAAAAAAAAAAAAAAAAGAGUCAUAUGGGCUCCUGCAGUGCCAAAAAGUACCCUGUUUAUAUUUUAUAUAUUGUGCUAUACUAUAUUAACUUACAUGUACAACAAGUAGCUUGUGUGCAUAAUAUGAUUAUUUUUGUAGGACAACAAUCAAUCUUGUGCACACCAGAUGAUAAUUUUGUUUGCAUAGAUUUCUUCGUCUUUUUAAACAAGUUGUCUUAAAAGCACUAGUUACUUUUGUGUUAAGUUAUAUCUCGUGCACAAUAGUCCUAUUUUGUGCAGAAGAUAUGAUAUUUAGCCAUAUCAUCUUGGAAACUCAGGAAAUAACUUGUGCACAUAAGCUGUCAAAGGUUUUUAGCUAUCUUUUGUGCACAAUGUAGCUCCAGUUAUGACCCUAUGUGCACAAGUGUUUGUCAUGUCAUAUCUUUUUAUUAUCUUAUUGUCUUGUGUGCACAGUAUAAUUAUCUCCUUUACAAGUUAAUGUCAUGUUGAACAAGUUUAUUAUCUGAAAUGCACAAAAAUUGGAACAAGCUAUUUCUUUGCACAAGAAAAAAAAGGGGCUCUGUACGUUUGACUUAAACAAAUGAAGUAAAUAAAAACGACAAAUCAGACAUUAAUAUCAUUGUUUUAUUUUCACUGAUGGACAAAAAAAUCAUUACAGUUCAAGUAAUAUUUCAAUAUUGUUUCUACAAGUUUGGAAUUCAAAUCCUCUGCAUGCAGGGGCAACAUGCAACUUAAAUCAGAACAACAUUAGACUAGUUUAAAUGUAAGCUUUGGUAUUUCACUGUAAAAACAGUCGAUUUGUUGUGUAUUCAUCAUAAGGUACCUAAUGUUUUUAUGAAAUGUUCAUAAACUUGCAAAACAUCCUUAAAAGAAAAGUUUUUGGACAAAAGUCUAGAAAGUAAAAACCUUCAAAAACCACUUAAAAUGAAAUUUAAAUGAAGGGAGGAAUGUUAUAGAAAGCAAUAAAUCCCCUGCAUUGCAUUUACCUUUUAACCCGUUAAAAUAUCAACUCGGUAACUUGUUUUACUCUGAGUUUAUUGCCUUAAUAAAAGGUAUAAAGUGUGGCUACAGACGCCACAUUCUUGAUAUAUUGGAUAUUUUUCAAUUAUACUCGUCUGUAUUUUCAUUCAUAUUCAAAUUCUUUUUAAAAGGAGUCCUGGCAUGAUUAUUUCUUUUUUAUGGUUUUACCGUGUUUUAGGAUAGCCCACAUUUCCUGCCAACAUGUGCAUGUUGUUGUUGUUGAAUCUGAGUGCCUUUUUGAGUCUGCAUGGGGGAUCCAAGAAUAUGUAGGCUUAAUAGAUGAAUGCAGAUUUUCUCCUCCUCUGCUCCAGCUGCACGCAGCUCUGCAGCAUGUCACCAAAACCUAACAGCAUCUCUCCACCUAAAAACACUUGACUGUCCUUAAAUUAUAUAGUCUCCUUUUUGGAUUGAGUAGUCAGAGCGUUAGAGCAUCAAACUUCUGCGUCAGAAGCACCUGUAACACGGGCAGGUAAGCCUCUUGUUCCUUUCCUAUAAGUCCUGUGAGAACUGGAGAUGAUCUGUGUGCCGCUGAGUCCUCAUGAUGUGUGAUGGAGGGACGCAUGAGUGGCGCACGGGCUGUGGAUAAGCCGGCCUCGCUGCGCACGCUGACCCCGGCUUUUCUCGCUCACCUUACCUGACCUGAACUCCUCCUCUGAACUUCCACAACUUUCUCAAAAGCCCCUGAAUGUGUCAUUAAACAUCAACAUCCAUGAAAGCAGAUAACUUGGAGCAAUGAUGCCUGACUGACAGGCGUCACAUUCGGCUGUUUGUUGUCUAUUCCAAUUUCUGCGUGAUAUCUCAUUAUGUACUUAAAGAUCAAAAUUGGACUCGUGUAGGAAGAGAACCUGUCACUGUGCCAUACCUUGCUCUGCCCCAAAUUGACGCCGGUGGGUGCAUCUCAAAUGAUAUUAGAGCAUUAAUUAUAGGACUAUGGCAGAUUAGAUUUCCCCGAGCAAUUUAGCAGAAACUCUGUCGCUUAGCAACACCGCUGCGGUUCAAAGACAGUCUGGUUUGCAGAUGAUAAACAUUAAACAUUAAUUAAUAUCAUUCAGAUCAAGAUUUAUUGAACAUCUGCAAAGCCAGAGAUCUGAAUGACUUGACGCUGCACACAUGUUGGAGCUACGGAUCACUGCGCGGGUCAAAAGGUAAUGUAGCGAAAAUGACACCCAGUAACCUUGGAAAGGGUGACUUAUUGGAGAGCUGGCAGAGUAAUUGACGUGUUCAUGUUAUGAGCAAGCACAUAAAGUCAGUCCCUCCGCGGCGAGUGGUCACCUCAGAAAACCCCCCGCAGAUUAUUUUCCCUCCACAACUUCCCCGACUGAAGAGCGCAGCCGAAACUUUUUGAUGGGAGCGACUCUUUCUGGCAAUGAGAUGCGCGGCAAACAGCUUCAAGAGAGCUCAGCACAACCAGUUGUGGUGAUAGAGAUUAAAAUAGGAACCAUAGCAGAUUGGAUUAAACUUAAUACGCCAUUUCAUAUCGUGUAACGUGUCACAUUCUGGGCGCUGCGCCCUUGUUUAUGAGGUGCGUCCGAAUUACAAUUAGCCCACAUUUCACUGAGAUUCCUUUGAAGCAGUCGUGUUCGAUGCUGUGUAGACUGAACCAGUGGGCCACAUUAAUUUGACCGUUUGCAUUGGCUCGUGCUGCGCUUUGUGCCAUCCCUUUGCGCUCCAUGCCACCACUCCAAAUUACGCUCAUUGCACCGCCGCCAGAUUUCACAAAGAGUCAUUGUGCAGAAAUGUCGCAUGUCCAAUCUUUUCAGUGCUCUUUAUUAUCAGGAUAGAUGCGUGUAAAAGGCAGGAGAUGGUGAGCGUGGGUGCAUUGAAGCUGUAGAAAUAACAGGCAAAGAGAGGCAUGCGGCACCUCUCUACUCUCGUUUUAGAAAUCGCUCUUAGUUGAACACAGAUGCGGAUGUUCAAUAAAUCUGGCGCAACGAAAACUUUUACAAGAUCAUUUUAAUGCUAUAAACCCUCUCCGGAUGUGUGUGCGCAUGUGCGCCGAGCGCCUGUGACCGUGUCAAGUCUCUGUUUUCUACAUUUAUGCGUUAAAAGCUGUUAUGGCGUCGUUUUCCUACACUGAUGAGGAACCGAACCGGGACCCGCGCGACGAGAGCUCCGAGUCCGGAGUGCAGUGCGCGAGGGGAGGGAAUCCCUCCAGUGUCUGACGCUUCCUUUACCAAGGAAACCCACACGCGCUCUCUGACGCAACUGCCCAUUUUAGGAAACAUGCGUCAAUGGACCAAAGCAA